ACGGGAGGCAGCAGUGGGGAAUAUUGCACAAUGGGGGAAACCCUGAUGCAGCGACGCCGCGUGAGUGAAGAAGUAUUUCGGUAUGUAAAGCUCUAUCAGCAGGGAAGAAAAUGACGGUACCUGACUAAGAAGCCCCGGCUAACUACGUGCCAGCAGCCGCGGUAAUACGUAGGGGGCAAGCGUUAUCCGGAUUUACUGGGUGUAAAGGGAGCGUAGACGGCAAGGCAAGUCUGAUGUGAAAUACCGAGGCUUAACCACGGAGCUGCAUCCAAAACUGUUGUUCUUGAGUGAAGUAGAGGUAGGCGGAAUUCCGAGUGUAGCGGUGAAAUGCGUAGAUAUUCGGAGGAACACCAGUGGCGAAGGCGGCCUACUGGGCUUUAACUGACGCUGAGGCUCGAAAGUGUGGGGAGCAAACAGGAUUAGAUACCCUGGUA
rnacentral:rRNA from 1 species